UACGGAGGAUGCGAGCGUUAUCCGGAUUUAUUGGGUUUAAAGGGUGCGUAGGCGGCCUGCCAAGUCAGCGGUAAAAUUGCGGGGCUCAACCCCGUACAGCCGUUGAAACUGCCGGGCUCGAGUGGGCGAGAAGUAUGCGGAAUGCGUGGUGUAGCGGUGAGAUGCAUAGAUAUCACGCAGAACCCCGAUUGCGAAGGCAGCAUACCGGCGCCCUACUGACGCUGAGGCACGAAAGUGCGGGGAUCAAACAGG
rnacentral:rRNA from 1 species